rnacentral:rRNA from 1 species
GACGUAGGGCGCGAGCGUUGUCCGGAUUUAUUGGGCGUAAAGAGCGUGUAGGCGGUUUGGUAGGUCCGCUGUGAAAACUCGAGGCUCAACCUCGAGACGCCGGUGGAAACCAUCAGACUAGAGUCCGGAAGAGGAGAGUGGAAUUCCUGGUGUAGCGGUGAAAUGCGCAGAUAUCAGGAAGAACACCCGUGGCUAAGGCGGCUCUCUAGUACGGUACUGACGCUGAGACGCGAAAGCGUGGGGAGCGAACAGG